rnacentral:rRNA from 1 species
UACGUAGGGUGCGAGCGUUAAUCGGAAUCACUGGGCGUAAAGCGCACGUAGGCGGAUUGCUAAGUCAGGGGUGAAAUCCUGGAGCUCAACUCCAGAACUGCCUUUGAUACUGGCGAUCUCGAGUCCGGGAGAGGUGAGUGGAACUGCGAGUGUAGAGGUGAAAUUCGUAGAUAUUCGCAAGAACACCAGUGGCGAAGGCGGCUCACUGGCCCGGUACUGACGCUGAGGUGCGAAAGCGUGGGGAGCAAACGGG